rnacentral:lncRNA from 10 species
UCAGCCUGAUUAGACCUCUAUUUUGAUACAUUCAUUCAACAUAUUUAUCAACUGCUUGCUAUGUGAAAAAUGCUAUCCUAAGUACUAGUCAUGGUCUGAUUGGCCUCACUGCUCGCAGUGUCCACAGGCAGCAGCAGCAGAAUCUGGGAGUUUAUUAGAUAUGUAGGAUGGCAGAUCCACUGCAGGCCUCCUGAGUCAGAAUCUGUCCUUUAAGAAGAUCCCCAGGCCAAUAGGAAUUAAAUCCAAGAAGGAAGGCUUUGUAAAAUAUGGUGCAGGUCAACCACAAACAUUUCAAAGGGCACCACCAUUGAGACAACAUGGAAGUGGAGGAAACAAUUGAACAACAUUAGAGUCAAGUGAGAGUUGACUGUGAAGGGCAUGGGGAGUUUCACAGUGACUCCUGGGUUUUGAGCUUUUGUGAAGAUAACAAAAGAUGCCUCUUGAUUUUAAUUUUUCUAAUCAGCCUUCCCAAAUUUAUUAUGGAAAAUUACUUUAAGUGUUUAUACUUUCCACCUCUUCUCUGUAUGAUCUGUAUAAAAUAAAAUUACUUUACAUGACCUAAUGUCCUUAUGCUGAUGUUCUGGUGCUACACAUUAAGGAAUAGCUAUGAUUGGUGU